rnacentral:rRNA from 1 species
GUGCACCAGUCGCGAAAACUCCGCAAUACGCGAAAGCGUGACGGGGCCAUCCCGAGUGCCGUCCGCUGAGGAUGGCUUUUCCCUAGUGUAGAUAGCUGGGGGAAUAAGGAGAGGGCAAGUCUGGUGUCAGCCGCCGCGGUAAUACCAGCUCUUCGAGUGGUAGGGAUGUUUAUUGGGCCUGAAGCAUCCGUAGCCGGCUGGACAAGUCCUCCGUUAAAUCCAGCGAUUCAAUCGUUGGAUUGCGAGGGAUACUGUUCGGCUAGGGGGCGGGAGAGGCCGACGGUAUUCUCGGGGUAGGGGUGAAAUCCUAUAAUCCCGGGAAGACCACCAGUGGCGAAGGCUGUCGGCUAGAACGCGCCCGACGGUGAGGGAUGAAAGCUGGGGGAGCGAACCGGAUUAGAUAUGAAGUUGAGUUUUUGCCAGCUUCACUAGAAACCCCGGUAGUCC